GUCCCUUCGGGGACAUCUGAUAAAAUUGGAACGAUACAGAGAAAGUAGUACUAGUACUGCUACAGUACGAGUACGUACUCCUCCAUCACAUAUUGUAAGACGUUAUU
rnacentral:snRNA from 9 species